AUUGAACGCUGGCGGCAGGCUUAACACAUGCAAGUCGAACGAGUGGCGGACGGGUGAGUAAUGCUUGGGAAUCUGGCUGAUGGAGGGGGAUAACUACGGGAAACGGUAGCUAGUACCGCGUACCAUAGGAUGAGCCCAAGUGGGAUUAGGUAGUUGGUGGGGUAAAGGCUCACCAAGCCGACGAUCCCUAGCUGGUCUGAGAGGAUGACAGGCCACACGGAAACUGAGACACGGCCCAGACUCCUACGGGAGGCAGCAGUGGGAAAUAUUGCGCAAUGGGGGAAACCUGACGCAGCCAUGCCGCGGGAAUGAAGAAGGCCUUCGGGUUGUAAAGUUCUUUCGGUAGGGAGGCGUUACCUACAGAAGAAGCACCGGCUAACUCCGUGCCAGCAGCCGCGGUAAUUC
rnacentral:rRNA from 1 species